rnacentral:rRNA from 1 species
CCUACGGGUGGCAGCAGUGAGGAAUAUUGGUCAAUGGGCGCGAGCCUGAACCAGCCAAGUAGCGUGAAGGAUGACUGCCCUACGGGUUGUAAACUUCUUUUAUAAAGGAAUAAAGUGAGGCACGUGUGCCUUUUUGUAUGUACUUUAUGAAUAAGGAUCGGCUAACUCCGUGCCAGCAGCCGCGGUAAUACGGAGGAACCGAGCGUUAUCCGGAUUUAUUGGGUUUAAAGGGAGCGUAGAUGGGUUGUUAAGUCAGUGGUGAAAGUUUGCGGCUCAACCGUAAAAGUGCCAUUGAUACUGGCAGCCUUGAGUACAGUGGAGGUAGGCGGAAUUCGUGGUGUAGCGGUGAAAUGCUUAGAUAUCACGAAGAACACCGAUUGCGAAGGCAGCUUACUAAACUGCAACUGACAUUGAUGCUCGAAAGUGUGGGUAUCAAACAGGAUUAGAUACCCCUGUAGUC